rnacentral:rRNA from 1 species
CUACUACGUGCCAGCAGCCGCGGUAAAACGUAGGUCACAAGCGUUGUCCGGAAUUACUGGGUGUAAAGGGAGCGCAGGCGGGAGAACAAGUUGGAAGUGAAAUCCAUGGGCUCAACCCAUGAACUGCUUUCAAAACUGUUUUUCUUGAGUAGUGCAGAGGUAGGCGGAAUUCCCGGUGUAGCGGUGGAAUGCGUAGAUAUCGGGAGGAACACCAGUGGCGAAGGCGGCCUACUGGGCACCAACUGACGCUGAGGCUCGAAAGUGUGGGUAGCAAACAGGAUUAGAUACCCUGGUAGUCCACACCGUAAACGAUGAUUACUAGGUGUUGGAGGAUUGACCCCUUCAGUGCCGCAGUUAACACAAUAAGUAAUCCACCUGGGGAGUACGACCGCAAGGUUGAAACUCAAAGGAAUUGACGGGGGCCCGCACAAGCAGUGGAGUAUGUGGUUUAAUUCGACGCAACGCGAAGAACCUUACCAAGUCUUGACAUCCCUUGACGAUGCUGGAAACAGUAUUUCUCUUCGGAGCAAGGAGACAGGUGGUGCAUGGUUGUCGUCAGCUCGUGUCGUGAGAUGUUGGGUUAAGUCCCGCAACGAGCGCAACCCUUAUGGUCAGUUACUACGCAAGAGGACUCUGGCCAGACUGC